AAAGUUCAUUUCGAUCGAUCAAAACUAAGAGUUCAAUCGAUCAAAAUCCUUCGAUCGAUCGAAAAAGCGUCAUUUGAAUAUCUUUGGCCGUUCAACUUUCUGCACCUUAAUUUUUUUUUUUAUUUUUUCUUUUCUUUUUCUUUUUUCUUUUCCUUCCCUCCUUCCUAUUUUUCUUUUCUUUUUCUUUUUUCUUUCUUCUCUUUCUCCUCCCUCCCAUUCUCUUCGCAUUCUCUCUCUCUCGGCCCAACUCUCUUCUCCCUCUCCCGAUUCCAUCUUCCCCAUCUCAUCUCUCAAUCACUCUCCCUCAACCUCACAAAACCCGCCACCACACCAUCUCCCUCACCUUCUUCUUCACUCCGGCGAGAAACCCCAAGCAAACCGAGCCGCCGCCGAACCUCCAUCAUUUUCGGCAAGAGCUUUUGGCCUACGGCCAAGCUCUUUCUCUCUCCAAUCUCUCGGUAUUCUCUCUACUGUCUCAAUCUCUGGCCGAUUUAGGCCAAGGAGAUUUCAUCUCAUUGCCAACAAGCUUCUGCAGAUUCCGGCAAAGCACCGAUCACCACUUCCAGCCACGGUUGGCCGGAAAAAUUUCCAAAAAAUCCCAAAGUCUCUCUCUUCGUUCCAUCUCUUGUUCUCUUUGGAUGUAGCGUAGACGAAAGACUCUUGCUAGAAAAAGAGUACAGAGAGCUCAUUCAUCUUUAGUGGCAGAUUCUUCUUCAUCUUCUGCAUCCACAACAGUACAUUCAGAGCCAUCAUCUAUGGAAGCCGACCAUGCUAUUAUUCGAGAGGUCCUUGCUGAGUCUUAUGCUAGUAAGAAGCGGGAGACCGAGUAUAAAUUUGAUAGAGAUCUAUUCUCUGCCUUGGACCAGACCAGGUGGUCUUAUGAUGAGCUCGUUCGGAGGGGCAUUGAUGCCAUUAUGACACCAGCAGACACAGUUGUCUAUCCCUGAUUGGUUGCACUGUUCUACCAGCACCUCAGGAUGGAUGAGGAUGACAGACUUCUUCUACUUUCCACUAUUGACUGCCAGGAGAUCGAUAUUUCUAUCCUGGCCAUAGCUGCUGCUUGUCGAUGCCCUAUACUUCUCCAUUGGCUGAUGAUUCUCAGGAUCCAUUGUAUCAUACAGCUCCACCUUUUUCUUAGCUGACCCAUGGUAGCUACAUUAUAUCCACAUGCUGUUUUUUAGGGCCACACCUUUGUAGACCAAGUUGAGAUUGAUCCCCAGUAUUGGUUCUUUGACUCCGUGUUGCACCUCAAUGCAUUUCCAUCAGGCCAUGGCACUCAACAGCGAGAGAGGAUCUUUCAGGCUCUAUAUUGUUUGAGCCAGGGUUAUUGGAUCUCUGUCCCAGCAUUGAUUUGGGAGCUCAUACACAAGUUCUGGAAAAAUCUGCAUCACAUACACAGUACUAGAAUAGCGACUUUGCCCUUACCUUUUGGCUACUUGAUUACUCAGCUGCUACUAGAUCAGGGUUAUCAGUUUGACCCCUAGGAGAUUCCAGAGCUUGAUGCAGAGAGAGAGAGAUGAGAGCAUAUGAUCAGGUAAGGUGGACGAAGACUUACAACUCCUACCGUAAGAACAGGGCGAAUAGGGAUAUGAAGAGACUGCAGGCGAAGCAGCAGAGAGCAACAGAGGAGGCAGCUGCAGCGGACGACGCUGCAGAGGAUGCCGUAAAUAGAUCUCUUCCCAGACAGAGACGUCGCAUUACCACUACAACCUCUAGCACACAGCCAGAUGUCUCUACUUCAUCUCAGCAAACUGACCCUUUUCUCGUCCCUUUCAUAGAGCCGAUAGCACAGAUCGACACUCGUUCCCAAUAUGCCAAAACUGAUUAUGGUUACAGAUCAGAGGUCACUCAGCUGCACACAGAAUUCAUUUCCUUCAGAGCUAAUAUGACUGGGUGGUAUGAGGAUGUCACGAAGAGGCAUGACGAUCUGGUGUGGAGACAUGAUGAGUUGUUGAGGAGGCUCGAUGACUUGAGAGCAGACGUAGCUACAGUGAGAGGUGUGCUUGGAGCACUGCAGAUUGACCUUACAGCUUCUCUCACUCGUCACAACACUAAGAUGUCUGCCAUGCUCCAGCACAUUGCUGACAUCAUGACUCUAGAUCCCAUUCCAUGAUUCCACCACUUUCUCUCUCUCCUACUUAUUAUUUAUUCUGAUACACUACUGUUACUGAGAUAUUAUUGCACUAUUUUGACACUUGCACUGGUUUUGGAUAUUUUUAGAUAUUUUGGAUAUUAUUUCUUGCAUUACACUGCUACAUUGAUUUAUGAAUAUCUGAUUUUGGAUUUAUUUGCUAUAUAUAGAUUUUUGGGAUUUUGAUAUCAGUUUUGGAUAUUCUAAGCUUUACAUUGCUAGAUGCCAUGAUUUUUGCCCAGUUUUCAGUUUCACCUCUCAUUUUUAUCAUUGAUGCAUAUGUUUUGACAGUUGUUAGUGUGACCAUUUUCAGACAGGUUUUCGAAAUCUAAGUUUGGGAGUGCGCCUUCCAAAGCUAAGCUUCCGCUGCCGGGUCCUUUUGUUUCACCCAUUUGGUACACUCUUUCCAUUAUCUGUUGCUUCUUUGCACAUUGAAGACAAUGCACAGAUUAAGUUUGGGGGUGUGUUAGCAUAUUUUACAUGUCGCACUUGAUUUUUAUGCGUGUGGUAUGAUUUGAGAGUCCUGGGUUAUGAUUUUGAUCUUUUGAGGAUCAUGAUACUUAGAAUUUAAAAAUUGUUUGACUUAAGAGUCCAAUACUCUUUGUAUGCUUUAUGGAUGCUAUUUAGGAGUAAAUUUUUCGAAAGAUUGAUAUCUUGCUUACAUUUGUGAUGCACAUCAUCUUGAUCUUGUGAUUGUUUUGAGAUUUAUUGUAGGAUUCUAUACUAGCACAGGCGCACACUAACAUUCAUUUAUGGGGUAUACGCUUUGUUGAUUAUUGAUUUAGUUAUAUCCCAAUUGAGCUAGUAAUGCAUUGAAAGCUUUCAUAUUGACAAAAGUGGAUAACAGUCCCUUUUAAUUGAAUAACCGGGAUUCUAGUCUCAUCAAGCACUGAAUUUCUCGCGUCGAAAGGUGAAGGGUCCAAACUUUAGGUUAAAAAAAAAAAAAAAAAAAAGUUUGCAAAAAGCAAAUAAAAAAAAGUGAGGACUUCUCCCAAAAGGUGAGAAGUGAGAAAUGAUUAGAUGGAGGUGGUUUUGAUUUGUAACCUAGUUGAUUUGAGCUUGUAAGUCCUUAGGGGUGUUUAAACGCUUAAUGUCCUAAAGCCGUCCGGUUUGGGAGUCAUUGACCUAACGCUCGAUCUCAUAGAUCGCUAGAAAACUUAAUAGAUUAACACAUUGCACCAUGCUUCAAUCUUUGAUCCUUUAGGUUAGUAAAAAAAAAAAAAAAUCGAGUGAAAAGAAUAAGCGCACCUAGUUGAAUAAAGCUUUAAUAAAAAUGUUCAUUCUUUGUUUUGAUGAUCAAAACUAGAUUUGUGUGCUAGUUUGAGGCCAGAUGUGAUCAUUUAUUUGAUUGGCUUAGAUAGUAAUAUAUUUAAUACCAGUUCACUUAAAAGAAUUCUAGAGUUAUUUUGAUUUGCAUGAUCAUUAUCUUGAUGUGUGAAGGACCAUACUUGCUUACUUGAUGUUGAGAUUUUGGGAGAUUACUUGGAAAUGGUUAAAAAAUUACAUACUUGAGGUAAUUUUUGUGAUACCCCUCGGAUCCGAGACACGGGUUGAUCAGGCCCAGGCCCAAACUCGAGGGAAAUAUCAAACAAUUAAUAUAUAACCGAACACGGAAUACAAGAUGAAAUAAAAAAUAACAAUAAGCUGGAAGGAUACUAAUUGAAAUCCUCAAAAUAUAAUUUAUGAAAUCUAUUAAAGCCAAACUCCAAAACUCCAUAAGUUACAACUUGAGAAUUCAUCUAGUGGACCCCUUAUUAUUAAAAAUCCCAAUUGAAACUAAAAUAACUGAAAUAGAAACUUAAGGUAAACAUAGAAAAGAUUCCUACGUAAUCGGAGGAAUGAAUGUCUGUAUCUGCUCUGCACGUCCAAGCUCUAACCCUGGAACUGACGAACAUCUGAAAAAUAAGAGAGUGGGUCAGGCCCACAUGCAAGUCCUAUUCUACUACGAUCCAAACAGUAAUCCAAUACGCAGAUACAUAUUAGGAAGACUCAACAAUAUCUAGAGUAGUCCAUAUGUAUAUAUAUAGUACACACUAUAGGACGUUCACUAGUCCAGUAAGUCUGUCUCAGCCUAAGUAGAGAUACCAUGCAAAUCGCACAAUAAUGUGGUCAUGUGUACCUAGACCUACCAGGGAACAACACCUAUGUCCAGUUAUCCAUCCUCGGCGAUAUACGCGCUCUAACCAUGGUCCUGAGACUUAAGCUCAUACCAUGGUACCAUAUAGUAAAUAUAUAAAUCCUUGUACUCUUAAUACAAAAUAUCAACCAUCUGUAUUGUGGUUUGAUAUAUGUAUCACCAAUCCAUCCUAAAACCACCACAGGUCAUUCAAUCGUUUUAUUGAUAUGAUACAAAUAUGAGAUGAACUUGACCUUUUUGGUUAAUCCAUCAUUAAAUCCAAAUUAGGUAGAACACAGUGUUUGAAAACAGUCCAUACCCAGUACGCCACCGUCCCAUACCGGUACAUACAAUCCUCCAUCCAACACAGUUAACAAAAAUAGCACCAUAUACAUUUAUUAACUAUACUCCAGAACCAACAUACAACCAAUCUAAUCUGUGUAUGAUUCAAAUAUAUAUCCAUUAUAUGAUCUAGAAGUCAUAUUCUAGUCCUUUAAAAUGUUAGAGUAAAAUACAGCAACUAACUCCUCUAAAAUAGUACCAUAACUUGAUGCAAUAAAUAGUAUAGUUAAACAUCAAUUAAUUUCCAUUUAAGCAUACCUAUAUAUUUUUCCAGAAUAUGUAAUAUAUGCUUAUACAACAGUUGAACCAUGAACAACAGUUUAAAAUUAUGCUAGAAACCAAAGUGCUUUAUAGGAACAGCAAGCAAUGUCAAUGUAUAACUUCCACAUGCAGUGUAUUAAUUAACUGUAGGUUAUUUCAUGCUUUAAAAUUAAUACAAACAUGCUUUCCAAUCCUUUUAAAACUCUAGAACAGUUUUAUAAACCAUCCACAGCCCCUAAAGAAACUCAGAAACCCUCCUACAGGCCAACCGGAAGUCAGAAACAUGAAAAAUCAAAAAAAUAAAAGAGGAGCCGCCUCCACCAAAAGUGGAGCCGCGUUUCCCCUUGGUGGAGCCGGCUCCACCCUUUAUUGGAGCCGGCUCUACCCUUGUGGAGCCAGCUCUACCCCUUUGUGGAGCCGUCUCUCCUCCGUUAAGAGCCGUAUCCCCUAUUCUGUGCAUCUUCUUCGCCUCUGACAAAGUGCAGAAACUCUGUACAAUUUUUAUAGCUUAUUUAGGAGUUCAAUUGCAGUCCUAGAAUCCAUUAAAAUCAUGCAUUCAAUCCCAAAUACAUAAGGUUAAGCAAAAUUAAAACUCACGCAAAUAGUUUAUUUUUAAACAAAGCAACGUCCUACACACAACAAAAUUAUGCAAUGACUUAACAGUCGAUUCAACAUGCUUCUAAGAUUAAUAUUACUUCAACUUAAUUUGUUUUAGUGCUAAAUUAAUUCCUAGAGUCCACUAGGCAUGCACAAAACACGAAUUAAAGGGAAAGAAUAAAAUAGUGACUUGCCUGUAGUUUCAGAUUUUGAAACUAUAAUCCACUGUCUCUAAAGUUCUGUCCACGUCUGAGACUCUUGUUCUACACCUCAGGUGCUCUUGGUUCAACCCAGAAGCACUCCAUCCAAUGUAUCCUUGAACUUCUCCGAUAACGUCCUAGUUUCCACUCUCUGUAUCUCUCUAUCUCACGAUAAAAGUAUCAGUGAAUAGGGUUUUGUUUUAUAACUCUAAACCAACGUAUAAUACUGUAUUUAUAGGCUUUAACACAACCCUAAUUCUAAUACAAAACCAACCCUAAGUCGGCUACAUCCGUGUAAAUAAAACCCUAAUAUAACUAUAUGUGUGCCUCCAUACAGUCACGUUAAAAACAAUUAAAUUUAAUUAACUUAAUUCAAUUAAAACAACUAAAUUACAUCAGUUAAAUAAUUAUCUAUAAUUAAAUCAAUUCAAUUAAAAUAAGUAAAUAAUUAAAGACCAUUAAAUCACCACAAUGAAAACAAUUACAACUAACACAUGAGCGCGUCAACAAUUAAAACAAAUAAAAACAAAAGGCCAGUUAAAUAAAUAAAAAAAACAAAAAAACAAUUAAAUAAAAAUAAAUGCAAUUUAAACAAUUUAAUAAAUACCAGGACUAUCCUUUUGAAAUCAGGGGUAUUAUAUUUCCCAAUGCUUGUUUUGUAUAUUGGUUUCUCUCUUGUGGAAAAAGCUCAAUGUUUGUGGGUAUCAUUUCUGGAAACCCUCACGAGACUUCACUCGUCCACUAGGGGUAACCUAAGGGUUUAAAAGGCUUGUUGCAUACGCUAAAUGUAAUCAUGUUCCCUACGAAAGUGGCGUUAUUAUUUCAUUACUUUAUAGUUCAUAGCUACUUAGUUGUUUAUUUCUUUCUUUUUCUUGUAGUUCAUUGCUAUGGACUAGCAAUAUCUAAGUUUGGGGGUGCGAUAAGUGCUCAAAUGUAAUGCAUUUUAGCACCUAAGCUAAGGUAUUUUAGUCCAUUCAUCUAUCUUAAUUUCAUAUCUUAAGUACUUAUUUGUGUUAUUGCCUAUUUCAGGUUAAUAAAGUUCAAACAGGCUAACAAGAGCCAUUUAGCCCAAUUUUGGAGCUAACAAGCAAAAUUGGAAUGAAGCCAAGAAAAUUGCACCAGAGGAACUUCGAUCGAUCGAAGGGAAUCCCAAUUGAUCAAAGUCGAGCCGGUGCUAGCUCAGCAAAGUGGAAAAGACCCAAAAGAUAUUUUGAUGCCACAUCAUCUUCGAUCGAUCAAAGAUCUUCGAUCAAUCGAACUGCUUGCUGGUAGUAUGCUGUCUAAUUCCUCAGCGCGCCAAUCUUAACUCGAGUAAUUGCAAAUUUCCUCCAAUCAUAGGCUAUAUUUCUGACUUGGUGCCUACCCAAAGAGGCAUGUAAUGAAUUAAUUGAACAUUAUCUUGUAUCAUUGAUAGAGACAGAUUUUUUAUCAAUAUAGAAAUAGUUUCCUCUCUAGAAUUAGGGUUUUGAGAAGAAAAGCAAGGAUGAAGAUGAUGAUACCAACCUCCAAGCUAGCCCUUGAGGGUUCCAUAACCACUACAAUGAGUGGCUAAAUCCUUUACUUGGGGCUAGAGAUAGCCCCUAAGUUUUCUUCCUAGACCUAGUCUUUUGUACAUUUUUGAGGAUUUUAGUUGUAAUAAAUGUUUUGACCUUGAAUAAAUAUAGAUCUUAUGAUUUUUACU